rnacentral:rRNA from 1 species
AUGCCUACUCUAGCCCAACCCCCCAUUAAACUAACUUUCCCUCAUCAACCAAACCAAAGCAUUUCCCACCAAGACCUAGUAUAGGCGAUAGAAAGGCUCCUUAAAUAGGCGCAAUAGAGAUUAAGUACCGCAAGGGAAAAAUGAAAUAACAGUGACAAACCAAGCUCCAAAUAGCAAAGAUUAACCCUUGUACCUUUUGCAUCAUGAUUUAGCAAGAAUUAACCAAGCAAAAUGCUACUUUCAGCUUGCCCCCCCGAAACCCAAGCGAGCUACUCACGAGCAGCUAACUGCUGAGCUAACCCGUCUCUGUUGCAAAAGAGUGGGAAGACUCGUUAGUAGAGGUGAAAAGCCAACCGAGCUGGGUGAUAGCUGGUUGCCUUUAUAACGAAUCUCAGUUCCCCCUUAAUUCUUCUCCAAGGACCCCACUUAACCCAUAUGAACCGAAUUAAAGGUGAUUUAAAGGAGGUACAGCUCCUUUAAAAAGAACACACACUCCCCCAGCGGAUAAGUUAAUUCCCCAAUAUAAUUGUGGGCCCUCAAGCAGCCACCAUCAAAGAGUGCGUCAAAGCUCCCCACUCAAAGAUAUGAAAACCCCUACGACUCCCUCCCCCCUAAUAGGCUAACUUAUGAAAAUAAGAGAAUCUAUGCUAAAACGAGUAACUAGGGUUUCCCUCUACAGCGCAAGCUUACAUCUCUACAUUAUUAACAGACCAUAGGGUAUUUAUUAUCCUCCUACAAGACCAAAUACCACAAAUCCUGUUAACCCACCCCCCUGGCGCGCUUCAUAAAGAAAGAUUAAAAUCUGUAAAAGGAACUAGGCAAGCCCAAGGCCCGACUGUUUACCAAAAACAUAGCCCCCAGCCAAUCAAGUAUUGGGGGUGAAGCCUGCCCAGUGACAAUUUGUUCAACGGCCGCGGUAUCCUAACCGUGCAAAGGUAGCGCAAUCAAUUGUCCCAUAAAUCGGGACCUGUAUGAAUGGCCAAACGAGGCCUUAACUGUCUCUUUCAGAUAAUCAGUGAAACUGAUCUUCCCGUGCAAAAGCAGGAAUACCCCCAUAAGACAAGAAGACCCUGUGGAACUUCAAAAUCAGCAGCCACUCCCAUAAAACUCUCCUCCUAUAAGGCCUAUCUCCAGGACUCUCUGGCUUGCAUUUUUCGGUUGGGGCGACCUUGGAGAAAAACGUACCCUCCAAAGAUUAGACCACCACUCUCAACCAAGAGCAACCCCUCAACGUACUAAUAGUAACCAGACCCAAUAUAAUUGAUUAAUGGACCUAGCUACCCCAGGGAUAACAGCGCAAUCUCCCUCAAGAGCCCCCAUCGACAGGGAGGUUUACGACCUCGAUGUUGGAUCAGGACAUCCUGGCGGUGCAGCCGCUGCCAAGGGUUCGUUUGUUCAACGAUUAAUAGUCCUACGUGAUCUGAGUUCAGACCGGAGCAAUCCAGGUCGGUUUCUAUCUAUGUUAAACUCUUCCCAGUACGAAAGGACAGAAAGAGUAAGGCCUAUAUCACAAACACGCCUUCGCUAUAAGUAAUGAAUCCUACUAAAUUACUAAGAGCUCCACCACCCCAUCCCCAUCCUAGAAAAGGACUG